UCCUGGGAAGUUUCCGAAGUAAAGUUCAGUGUUGUGAGUGCCGGAGCCCGGGUGGCAAGAGGCCCCGCCGUGCCUGGCGAACCUGGGGACCUGAAAUCUAUACUCUCAAAAUCUUCUCUACAUUGUCAACAGCAACAGAAAAAUGAAUGGAUCUCUGAUUGAAUGGAUUAUAUUGGCAAAGAAUGUAGCAAAACAUCCAGAACACAGUGAAUACCCACAGGUCUUGGCUCUCUUCCUUUCCCUCCCCUGCACCAGCUGCCUCUGCUCAGUGGACCAUGAAAAGCCUGUGACAAUGUCGCCAACUCAAAGAUGAAGGCAGGGCUGGUGGAUCCCUGCUGAAUGCCACAAGCCUCUCACUGGAUGGAUCUUUAUCCUGAAGGGCCAGGACACCAUUAUUUGUGUGUCCCAGUCUUUGUCCUGAGUUAAGCCAGAAGAGGGACUAUGUGAUUCUUCUGUCAGCCUCUAGAGGGUGCUAGUCCUGUCCAUCCUCUGCCAUGAGAAGGUCCAUGUCACCAACAUCACUCACUCACUCCUGGCUUAGAAGGCUUGCCCACAGGACAGGAAAGAGGACAUGGCUCCAUUGUUUGGGGGAACAAGUAGUGAUGUCUUACAUGGCAUGGAUGGCCCAAGUCUUUGCAGUUACUGGAGAGCAGUAAUCUGGCCAAAGGUUCCCAGAAGGCUCAAGUUUCCAUACACAGCUCCGAUCUCCAUGCACAGGUCCUUGGAGACUUCCUAAGGCAUAGUCCCUUCGAGGAACACUAGGAGGAGCUUUGACUUUUAGCUUUUUGAUUUUGUCCAUGAUGCCACCUUCGUUGUUCUUAAUAUCAUGGACUAUCUUUUGAAGUUGCGUUGGUAUUCAGGUAAGGGGUUGGUUUAUUCAUUGUUGUGGCUGGCACCAGGCCAUCUUGGUCCUCCACGCGGUGGGG